rnacentral:miRNA from 1 species
CCGUUGCCUUUUAUCGUUUCUAUC